GGGGAUUUAGCUCAGUGGUAGAGCACUUGCCUAGCAAGCACAAGGCCCUGGGUUCGGCCCCAGCUCCG
rnacentral:tRNA from 1 species